rnacentral:rRNA from 1 species
CCUACGGGUGGCUGCAGUGGGGAAUAUUGGACAAUGGGGGGAACCCUGAUCCAGCCAUGCCGCGUGUGUGAAGAAGGCCCUCGGGUUGUAAAGCACUUUCAGUGAGGAAGGACGCCUGGUGGUUAAUACCCAUCAGGAAAGACAUCACUCACAGAAGAAGCACCGGCUAACUCCGUGCCAGCAGCCGCGGUAAUACGGAGGGUGCGAGCGUUAAUCGGAAUUACUGGGCGUAAAGCGCGCGUAGGUGGCUUGAUAAGCCGGUUGUGAAAGCCCCGGGCUCAACCUGGGAACGGCAUCCGGAACUGUCAAGCUAGAGUGCAGGAGAGGAAGGUAGAAUUCCCGGUGUAGCGGUGAAAUGCGUAGAGAUCGGGAGGAAUACCAGUGGCGAAGGCGGCCUUCUGGACUGACACUGACACUGAGGUGCGAAAGCGUGGGUAGCAAACAGGAUUAGAUACCCUAGUAGUC